AGUCGAGGGGUGACAGGUUCCUUCGCGGAAUGCUGACGACCGGCGCACGGGUGAGUAACGCGUAUGCAACCUACCUUAAUAUGGAGGAUAGCCCAUGGAAACGUGGAUUAAUACUCCAUAACAUAUUUAUACUGCAUGGUAUUUAUAUUAAAGCUUUGGCGUAUUAAGAUGGGCAUGCGUGCCAUUAGAUAGUUGGUGAGGUAACGGCUCACCAAGUCAGCGAUGGCUACGGGGUCUUAAAGGAUGGUCCCGCACACUGGUACUGAGACACGGACCAGACUCCUACGGGAGGCAGCAGUGAGGAAUAUUGGUCAAUGGACGCAAGUCUGAACCAGCCAUGCCGCGUGGAGGAAGACGGCCCUAUGGGUUGUAAACUGCUUUUUUUACGGGAAUAUAGUUUCUACGUGUAGAGAUUUGAAGGUACCAUACGAAUAAGCAUCGGCUAACUCCGUGCCAGCAGCCGCGGUAAUACGGAGGAUGCAAGCGUUAUCCGGAUUUAUUAGGUUUAAAGGGUGCGCAGGCUGCCCGGUAAGUCAGUGGUGAAAGUUUGCAGCUUAACUGUAAAAUUGCCAUUGAUACUGUCGGGCUUGAAUUUGGUAGAGGUAGGCGGAAUGUGUAGUGUAGCGGUGAAAUGCUUAGAUAUUACACAGAACACCGAUUGCGAAGGCAGCUUACUAUGCCAACAUUGACGCUGAGGCACGAAAGCGUGGGGAGCGAACAGGAUUAGAUACCCUGGUAGUCCACGCCGUAAACGAUGAUCACUCGUUGUUGGCAAUACACCGUGAGCGACUGAGCGAAAGCAUUAAGUGAUCCACCUGGGGAGUACGGUCGCAAGAUUGAAACUCAAAGGAAUUGACGGGGGCCCGCACAAGCGGAGGAACAUGUGGUUUAAUUCGAUGAUACGCGAGGAACCUUACCUGGGCUUAAAUGUAGAGUGCAUAAACGGGAAACUGUUUUUUCCUUCGGGACUCUUUACAAGGUGCUGCAUGGUUGUCGUCAGCUCGUGCCGUGAGGUGUCGGGUUAAGUCCCAUAACGAGCGCAACCCCUAUCGUUAGUUGCCAGCGAGUCAAGUCGGGGACUCUAACGAGACUGCCGGUGUAAACCGCGAGGAAGGUGGGGAUGACGUCAAAUCAGCACGGCCCUUACGUCCAGGGCUACACACGUGUUACAAUGGCCGAUACAAAGGGCAGCUACCUAGUGAUAUGAUGCUAAUCUCUAAAGCCGGUCUCAGUUCGGAUUGGAGUCUGCAACUCGACUCCAUGAAGCUGGAAUCGCUAGUAAUCGCGUAUCAGCAACGGCGCGGUGAUACGUUCCCGGGC
rnacentral:rRNA from 1 species